GACGAACGCUGGCGGCGCGCUUAACACAUGCAAGUCGAGCGAGAACCAGGCCUUCGGGCCCGGGGAAAGCGGCGAACGGGUGAGUAACACGUGGGUAAUCUGCCCUCGGCACCGGGAUAGCCCGGGGAAACUCGGAUUAAUACCGGAUUGCCUCCGAAGCCUUCGGGCGUCGGAGAAAAGGUGGCUUCGGCUUCCGGCUGGGGAUGAGCCCGCGGCGGAUUAGCUUGUUGGCGGGGUAACGGCCCACCAAGGCGACGAUCCGUAGCUGGU
rnacentral:rRNA from 1 species